AUCGAACGCUGGCGGCAGGCUUAACACAUGCAAGUCGAGCGGGGAAAGGCAGCUUGCCACUACAUCUAGCGGCGGACGGGUGAGUAAUGGAUAGAAACGUGCGUAAUAGUGGGGGACGACAGCUCGACAGGCAUGCGAGUAACGCAUAUGCCCGACGGGAGAAAGCAGGGGCUCGUCGUGCGGCGCGCUAACAGAUGAGCCUAAGUCGGAUGAGCUAGUUGGUGGGGUAACGGCUCACCAAGGCGACGAUGUGUAGCGGGUCUGAGAGGAUGACCCGCCACACUGGGACUGAGACACGGCCCCGACUCCUACGGGAGGCAGCAGUGGGGAAUUUUGGGCAAUGGGGGGAACCCUGAUCCAGCGAUGCCGCGUGUGUGAAGAAGGCCUUAUGGUUGUAAAGCACUUUAAGCGAGGAGGAGGCUUACCUAGUUAAUACCUGCGAUAAGUUGACGUUACUCGCAGAAUAAGCACCGGCUAACUCUGUGCCAGCCGCCGCCGUAA
rnacentral:rRNA from 1 species